rnacentral:tRNA from 1 species
GAGUGUGUGGCUCAGUAGUAGAGUUUUUGCCUUGCAUGCAGAAGGCCCUGGGUUCAAUCCCUAGCACUACCA